AGAAAUAGAUGCAACAACUUCUCUUAACCAUUGACUAUCCUUACUGCUCCCUCGCCGAUAAAUGGCUUGCCUCUUCUCCAACAAAUCACUACUGGUACUUAUACUAAAUUUCAAACUUCCGUUUCCAAAAUUUAUCUUUAAUGUUGAAAAUUCUCAAUUUUGACAGUCAUCUGCAUUCACUCUUAAAGAAAUAAUUGGGUAUUGAGUUAUAAAGAAAAUUCUUAACUUAAGAUAUCCUGUAUAACAAUAGAUAUAUUUCACUAUUUAUGUAUCUAUCCUAUAAUUCUUUUCUUUUGUAGUCAAAACUUAUGCAAUAACCGCCACCAUUCUUUUUGUCGUUUUACUCCUUAAAUCCCUAAGGGAACUGGAUGGUUUACUUACACAAAGCCAAAGAAUAGAGACUUUGUACAAUUGCGGAAUCUGCUUGACUCUUUUAAUGUCGUUGAUACUUCGCUUAUAACUAAACAGAACCAACAGAAGGUGCAACAAUCGAGGGUUAAAAGAACAGAUAGGAAAUGUCAUUUAUUUAUUAAAUUCUUGCUCUUAACAUUCUUCCCCUAGACCAUUUUCUUAGGUUUCCCUAAACUAUUAGUCUAUGUGUAAGGCUAAACAAGUUCGUUACAUUUUAUUUAUGUGCAUUUAUCAAACACUUCAUGCAAUUUUGACUUAAAAUAACAUAAUAUUGAAUUGUUAUUUGGAUGCUCAGUUUUCAAACAUAUGGUUCUGCAGAUACAGUUUAUGGAACUUAUUUUUGGAUUUAUUUUUAAAAUUUAGUACUACCAUCAUAUUUUACAAGUCUCAAUUGGAUGCGUUAUUAUAGUUUUCCUUUUCUUUUUUGAGAAAAAAAUUGACUUAUUGAUCUCUAGCUUUCUUUUUACCACUUCGUUUUGUAUGAAGGCAGCUACACAAGAUUAGAAAUGAUUAUAUUUGAGAAAGUACAAGUGACCUAAAAAUACAUUGAUUAUGUGUUGUUAUGCUGAUCAAAAUAUUUUAAACAAAAUGAGAUAAGAUUGAAAAUUACAUUAAGAUUGGUUCAAGAUAUGUACAAUUGUUUACAUAGUCUCUGCCUAUAUUUAAACUUUGGUAGACUUCUUAUAUAGAAAAUAUCUCAUAGAAAUUCUAUAGAGUCCAAGACUAGGCAGAUAUUGUCAGAUCACUCAAUUAGACAGAGCUACAUUAGACUUGACAAACGCCUAAGUAUCUAAUAUAUUUGUUUCGUAACAUAUUUAUUGCAUUGUGCCAGAUCUUAUUGUGACAAUGAGGAAUAAUUUCUUAAGAAUUGUGUAUCGUUUUUGUUUUUGAUGUGAUAACAUAAAUGUAUGGUCCUAAGGAAUACAACUAUUAUGCUUCAAAACAACUAAUGUGUAAUAUUAUAGUGUCAUGAUAGAAGGCUAAUGAGCUGGAGGUAUCGUUAAAGAGUAUUUUGAAAGUAUGGCAUGUAUAUCGUGAGAAUAUAACUAUCCGUAGAGGUUUUGUGGCCUCACAACUGAGAUCUAGCAAUGCAUUUUACGCAUAGAUCAUUGGUGUUGGAGGUAUGUUAGGUUGUGUAGAACAAAAUUUGCUCCCUUUUUUUUUCAUUGCAGGAAAUUGAGACAUUGGCUUUGAAGAGCUAAGCUCUCUCUUUUGUUAGGUCUUCUCUUCAAUGUUGUAGAAUAUAUAUAUAUAUAUAUAUUUGGAUACAUUAGGCAAUUCUAUUGUUUCUUGCUCCAUUUUUAAAUAAAUAGUGUCAACUAUAGAAGUCGGCAUAAGAGGGUUAUAUUUUUAGUUCAUAAUUACCAUACCACUACAGUCUACAAACUCUUUUAAGUUUCUUUGCUUGAAUGUUGGUCUAUAUGGAAAACGUACCAAAAUAAUAGACAUUUUUACUAUUGUAAAAAUACUAAUGUCUCACCCUAGACACAUGACGUCUCCAAGAUAUGUUUUGUCUCUUUGAUUUGGACCUCCAUUCAUUUUCAUUAGGUGACAAAAUUCUAACCAAAUUUAUCAUUCUUAUAUUGUUUAACGGUGGUAAAUAGUAUGAACCAUGGGGAUGGUAAUCUCUUUGAUGUUUUGAAUGGAUUUGCAUUGUGUCUUACCAGCUUCCUGUACAGUCUGUUCCUGCUUAAUUUACUCUCGAAAGAAAAAUGUUGUACAGGUUGUUGCAGUUCCGAUAUACCCUUAGAAAAACGUAUAGUAGAAAUUAGAUUGUUGUAUUUUAUACUCAUUUUUCAUCUAUAUAUAAAAACUAUAACUUUCACAUUUUUCUUUAUUCCAGGUUACACGAAGACAUUUGAUUCAGUCCCUGCUCUGAGGAAAGCAGUUAUAUUAGGCUACAACCCUAUUAGACCUUGGAUGUCUGUAGUUUACAGGUAUGCCAUUACAACUAAUCGUGUUUCUUCGAAAAUAGCCAUAUUUUAUAAUUUCUAUGGCUUCUUGAAACAACUUCUUCAUUUGUAUGCCUAUUUUGAAUUUUGAUUUAGGUGGCUCUAUGAUUUCAAUUCUCGUGAGUACUUUUACGAUGGUUUAUCAUAUGGCACCCAACAUACCCUUCAAAACUUCUGAUGAUAUCUCCAAUGAAAUUAAACUACAUUUUCAAUUAUCCUUUUCUUUGACAUUUUGAUGACAAACACCAUAAAGUUUAACCGUCUGAUUAUGAAAUGAAAGUAUUCCAUCGAGGUGCACAAGGUCAUGGUCAUGUAUUAUGUUAAGUCCUUUAACCUAGAAGAUGAAAAUAGAUGAGUGUUUUCCUUUAUCUCGAUUAAUGCCUCAACUUUCUGGACAACACCAUCAAUAUAAACCCUAAAAAGAUAUCACCCUUGGUUCUCUCUUGAUUUACCAGAGAUAGUUCAUCUGCUAAGUAUGUUUUGGUAAAGCACAAUAAAACCUUGCCCAAAUAUUCAUCUCGCUUAUAGCUCACUCAAUUGUUGCAUCAACAAUUUGGAUUGUAUUUUUAUCAUAUUUAUGUGCUUUGCAGGUUCACUAUAGAAACCAAGUUCGAGCUCUCUUUCUCCUAUAUAAAAUAACCGCAAUGAAUCAUUAUUGUUGCAAUAUGUUUUGUUGUAUAUUCUAUGCUAAGCUCCGUCCAACUGCUAUGAAUUCUUCCAAAGUAAGCAGAGUUAUUGUCAUUCCCUUAUCUUGCUUUGUUAUAUAUAGUAACAUACAACAAGAGGCCUUUUCUGAUUUUCACGUUUUAGUGUUGUUCAUCUUCAUUUCACCCGUAAAAGCAAGGUAUAAAGGUUGAAAUGAAUUUCAAAAUGAUAAAUCAGCAGUUCCCUACAUAGUUGGAUGGGGCACAAGAAAAGGAAAUGUAUACGAGGCAGAAACUUUUGUCAUAAUUGAUGAUGUUAGACUUUUGUAAUUUUAAAAUCAGAUGCACAUCUGAAUAAAAUAUGGUCUUGAUGUUUUGGGGAUGCCAUUAAUGUAGCUGAUUGUUAA
rnacentral:lncRNA from 1 species